UAGCUAGUUGGUGAGGUAAAGGCUUACCAAGGCGACGAUCUGUAGCGGGUCUGAGAGGAUGAUCCGCCACACUGGAACUGAGACACGGUCCAGACUCCUACGGGAGGCAGCAGUGGGGAAUUUUGGACAAUGGGGGCAACCCUGAUCCAGCCAUGCCGCGUGAGUGAAGAAGGCCCUCGGGUUGUAAAGCUCUUUCGGCCGGGAGGAAAUCGCAUGGGCCAAUACCCUGUGUGGAUGACGGUACCGGAAUAAGAAGCACCGGCUAACUACGUGCCAGCAGCCGCGGUAAUACGUAGGGUGCGAGCGUUAAUCGGAAUUACUGGGCGUAAAGCGUGCGCAGGCGGUUUUGUAAGACAGGCGUGAAAUCCCCGGGCUUAACCUGGGAACUGCGUUUGUGACUGCAAGGCUAGAGUACGGCAGAGGGGGGUGGAAUUCCACGUGUAGCAGUGAAAUGCGUAGAGAUGUGGAGGAACACCAAUGGCGAAGGCAGCCCCCUGGGUCGAUACUGACGCUCAUGCACGAAAGCGUGGGUAGCAAACAGGAUUAGAUACCCUGGUAGUCCACGCCCUAAACUAUGUCAACUAGGUGUUGGGUGGGUAAAACCAUUUAGUACCGUAGCUAACGCGUGAAGUUGACCGCCUGGGGAGUACGGCCGCAAGGUUAAAACUCAAAGGAAUUGACGGGGACCCGCACAAGCGGUGGAUGAUGUGGAUUAAUUCGAUGCAACGCGAAGAACCUUACCUACCCUUGACAUGCCAGGAACUUGCCAGAGAUGGCUUGGUGCCCGAAAGGGAGCCUGGACACAGGUGCUGCAUGGCUGUCGUCAGCUCGUGUCGUGAGAUGUUGGGUUAAGUCCCGCAACGAGCGCAACCCUUGUCGUUAAUUGCCAUCAUUUAGUUGGGCACUUUAACGAGACUGCCGGUGACAAACCGGAGGAAGGUGGGGAUGACGUCAAGUCCUCAUGGCCCUUAUGGGUAGGGCUUCACACGUCAUACAAUGGUCGGUACAAAGGGUUGCCAAGCCGCGAGGCGGAGCCAAUCCCAGAAAGCCGAUCGUAGUCCGGAUUGCAGGCUGCAACUCGCCUGCAUGAAGUCGGAAUCGCUAGUAAUCGUGGAUCAGCAUGUCACGGUGAAUACGUUCCCGGGUCUUGUACACACCGCCCGUCACACCAUGGGAGCGGGUUCCGCCAGAAGUAGGUAGCCUAACCGCAAGGGGGGCGCUUACCACGGCGGGGUUCGUGACUGGGGUGAAGUCGGAACAAGGUAGCCGUAGGGGAACCUGCGGCUG
rnacentral:rRNA from 1 species